UGACAAGAGUUUUUUCAUCAGGCUAAAUUAAUUAUUUUUACCUUCUGUUCUUUGAGAACCCAAAAGUUUGAGCUUGAGGAAAUCAGAAAUUUGACGGUGCGUUGAUUAAAGUGCUGUAAAAAACGAAUUUAUUCUAGUUGGAUUGAACGAUUAAUCAGAAUGUCGGCUGUUGCGAAAAUCGCCAAGCCUAAUAUGGCUUUCAAUCAAUCGAAAAGGUUGUACCGACACAUUUACAUUUCAAUAUUUUUGUCCGGAGUCGCUGGUUAUGCUGCGCAGAAAUUCAUGGUCGAGCCAUUUGAUAAAGCACACGAUGAAUUCUACAAAACUUAUAACCCUUGGGAAGAUUUCGAAAGAAUGAGGCAGCUGGGUUUAUUCCAGUCUGCUCCACCCGAUGAAGUUUUAAGAGAAAGAGAAUUGAAGAAAAAACAGAAAAAGUAAUUCAGCGCCCUGACCGUAUAAUUUUCCUGUAGCUGUCGUAAUUUUGUAUAAACAAGAAAUUGAAGCUUCUUUGUUACUAUGUUUAUUGUAAUAGUUUAUUUUAUGUUCUAAGUAAGGUGAAAUCGUGCGACUUCGGUCGUUGUAUGGAUGUAUGAUUGAAUCCAAUAAAAUGUACGCCGAAA